CACAUUUUUUUGCUCCGAUGCACAUUCAACGAGUAGAGCUCUAACCAUCUUACUCUUAAGUUCAGUUCAGUUCUAAUUUUAGCCUUUGAGGCGAUACUCCGUUCCCAGGAAUCCAGUCCUCGUUUUGAGGUUUAAUAAGAGAAGCUAUGAUCCCAGAAAUACAAGCAAGUCUGGAGGUGGUUAGAACAUGAAAGUGAGGUAAGAAAGACAAGAGAUUCAUUCAUGGGAGGGUGAUUCAAGGUACCGACAUCCCUGUAUCUCUGCACAGCGACAGAAGAUCAUUAUUACUCACUCGCACUGCUCACACGCAAACCUGAGAUCAAACUGACAGAUGAGUGACUGUAACAACAAUGUAACAGCCUAUAUUUGUGACAAUAACUUACCUCUCUGUUGAUAAUACUAAUAACUAUUAUAAUAUAAUAUUUUUUUAAAUAUAAUCAAUAGAUGCUAAUGCCCGUAACAGGGUUAAUUAACAAGGUGUAUUUAAUGUAAUUAAACAUUUCCCAGGUAUGUAAACAAAAGAUAAUUAUGCAGUAUUUUCAAUAAUACUUUACUGGCACUAUAUGUUACGCUAUAAUCUCACUCCAUAUUCUGUUCACUGUUUUCAAAUUAUUCUUUUUCUAAUAAAGGUUUUAAUCUGGUAACAUGCUCCUGUUCGCAAAUAUUUGUCAGCAACAACGAUAAACUCCACAUACCAUCAUGCCUUGCGCGCUUACGUUGGCUGAGGGCAGCGUGUGCUGCGCUGCUGUGCUCCAACUAUGGCUCAGUGCGGCUCAGGCUCUUCACAGGAGCGCUGCGUAUCGGCUCCACGGGCGCUAGUUGGAGCUCCAGCAGAGGACCAGCAUUGCGCUGGACCACAAGGAGGAACCGGCUACUUUUACUGCCUAUCGGAAAUAAUCACACUGAUCGAUCUGCUUGAUUCUAAGGAAGCAACCAUCAGAGGAUUCUUUGGAAACACUAAAUGGAUUAAAUGCUACCGUUACAGCAUUGACACACGUGGAGGAGUUAUUAGUGUUAUUAACAUUGGUAAAACUUUGUGAUGGAUUCAACGCUCCAGCUGUGCAUCGUCCUGUGGGAUAUGAGGAAAUACUGUCUCUUACACGGGAUGAAUGGUGUCCAUUGCUCCUGUUGUCCGAGUCCUUCUGCAGGACGAGCAGUUCGUCGGACAGGCGAGUCUCUUGGGAUACUUAACGCGUGCGGCCAGUGUCACAGAUGGUCAACACCAUGAUAUGCUUUUGGAAGUCGAUAUUCGUUGCGCUGGAUUUUUUUUUGGCACAAGGAAUAUCCUGGAAUAUAAUUUGAAAGUGCUCAGCAGAUGUCCAGCGCUUUGGAUAAUGACAGAACGCAUCUCCUCAUCCGACAGUGAAGGGAUCCAAAUUCUUGGAAUGAGAUGUCGACCUUUAAUUGCUUCCCAGGGAAUUUCUGAUGAUCUCAGGUGAGCACAGAGAAGAGGCUGAGUAAUGGAAACACGAUCUCAAGACAUUCAACAGGAUCACACUAAAUCCUGGUUUGGACUGUGGACCAGCAUCCCCCAUGCAGCAGAUGUUUGCUCCUGGCAUGGCUGCGAACAGCGUGAGCUCCAUCACUGACAAUCCGGCUCUCAGGAUCCAGCGCCAGCAGCUUGGACUUGGAGAAGCUGUGACAUAAACUCAGCAGGACAGUGGAGUGUAUUUUUGUUGCUCAGAUAUUGUGGAACAGAUCAGUCAACCCUGUCUGGAGAGAGGCGCUCGAUAGGAAAGUCAACUCUACGAAUGUACGAUUACCGGGGUUACCACAAUGGAUCUACACAUUGUUUUGACUUUUUCUAAAUUGAACCUGGAUUAAUAUUUCCCUGUAUAUACAUCUGCUUUUGAUAUUCAGUGUUUAUUCACGCUCUUGCUCAUUCGCUGCAGUUGUGACAUAUACUGUGUUAUUCUGGAUACAGUAUCAACAGAUGCUGGAACAGUAAACGGAAAAUAAUCAGACGUUAUUUUCAUUUUUAAGGUCUAUUAUUUUUACAGACUGAAGGCAGCGCUUGCACCAAUGCAGUCACGUACAAAGUGUAUCUUGUGAGGAGCACAAUAAAUAUUUCCUAGUGUUUAGAAUUAAUUAAUACACAUAAUAAGGUCUCGGAAGGAUUACUCAGUCAAUGGACAUUCGAACAUCUUCCAAUUCACAAAGAAGCCAUUGUCAUCGAGGAAUGCAAGUAUUGACACCACAUCUCAUUGGCAGCCUUGUUGUUUUUUUAUUAAUAAUCUCUUCAAGCUGUUUGUUUUGAUAAUGAUUUAUAGCUCCGUAAUAAUUUCAGUUGUCUGUGAAACCCUUUAACAUAAAUAAAAACAGAAGGUGUAUCCAA